CUGGCGGCGUGCCUAACACAUGCAAGUCGAACGAGAAAGUGGAGCAAUCCAUGAGUAAAGUGGCGACCGGGUGAGUAACACGUGACUAACCUACCUCCGAGUGGGGAAUAACUCCGGGAAACCGGGGCUAAUACCGCAUAACAUCGCAAGAUCAAAGCAGCAAUGCGCUUGGAGAGGGGGUCGCGGCUGAUUAGCUCGUUGGCGGGGUAACGGCCCACCAAGGCGAAGAUCGGUAUCCGGCCUGAGAGGGCGCACGGACACACUGGAACUGAAACACGGUCCAGACUCCUACGGGAGGCAGCAGUGGGGAAUUUUGCGCAAUGGGGGAAACCCUGACGCAGCAACGCCGCGUGGAGGAUGAAGCCCUUUGGGGCGUAAACUCCUUUCGACUCGGACGAUAGUGACGGUACGAGUGGAAGAAGCACCGGCUAACUCUGUGCCAGCAGCCGCGGUAAUACAGAGGGUGCGAGCGUUGUUCGGAAUUAUUGGGCGUAAAGGGCGCGUANGCGGUGCGGUAAGUCACCUGUGAAAUCUCCCGGCUUAACUGGGAGCCUGCAGGCGAAACUACCGUGCUGGAGUGUGGGAAAGGUGCGUGGAA
rnacentral:rRNA from 1 species